CUUUCCACACGAUUCAAAAUCCCCAAAACAAAGAAAAACGACAUCGUUUUUGUCUCAAUCCAACAAAAAAAAAAAAAAAUCCCACCGAGGCACAGCACAGUAACAUCGUUUCUUUCUCUCUUCUUCUCAUUUCUGAUAUCUCUUCUUCUCCUUCUUCUUCUUCCUCACGCUCACACAUCCACACCAUACCGCUCCGCCACCGUUCCUCCUCCGGCGACGAACUUCCGGCGAGCUCUCCAGAGCUACGGGCUUAGCCCAAUAUCAACAUCACUGAAAAUGAAGGUGAUUUCUUCAAAUUUCGUAAUUCUCAAUGCUUUUGUUCGAUUCGUGUUUUUUUGUUUAUACAUUACUUGGUGUGCCUGUGUGUUUGUGAGAGAGAGAGAGAGAGAGAGAGAGAGAGUAAAGAAUAAUCUGAUAGAAUGUAAGUUGAUAAUGUGAAUUUUGAAGAAACCCUCAAUUUUGGAUAAUUAUGGAGGUUUUUGGUUCUCAAGGUUUCGUUUUUAGGGUUUCGUCUUUCAUGUGCUUAAUUAUUGGGAAAAUGGGAAGUGGGGGUUUUCAAUGUUGCCCAUGGGAUUGUGGGAUUUUGUUGAAGUUUAUUAGGUAUAGCUCAAAUGGCACUUCGUUCGCUUUUCAGAGUAAUGUGGAGGGUGAGGUUGUAGGUUCAGGACUUGUUAGGUAAGUUUUGAAGUUACAAGUAAGCAAAAAAGUUUGAGGAUUUUGUUGAGGUUUAUGUUGGAGAUGUAUUUGGGAUUCUGUUUUGAGAAUUUCGAAGUUGAAUUCUUGGGUGGAAACUUUUUUGUUGUGAGUUCGCGUGGUAUGAUUUGCGUGGGGGUUUUGAAUUCCUAUUGUUUCCAUGAGUAAGGAAUAAUUGAUAGAAUGUCAGUUCUUAAUGUGAAUUUGAAUGGCGGGAAAGUGCUGGAUUUAGGGCACUUCAGUCCGCUGUGAGAGUAAGUUGGAGGGUAUUGUUGUGGGUUCAGGACUCAUUUCGUGAGUGUGGAACUUACCAAUAGAAAAUAAAGUUUGAGGGUUUUGUUGAUUUAUUUUAUGUUGGAGAUGUAUUUGGGAUUCACUUUUGAGGAUUUUGGAUUUGAAUUGUUUAAACUUGGUUGUUGUGAUUUGGUGUGGCAUGAAUUGAGUUGGGAGUUUUUCAUAUGGGUUGAGGAACUAAGGGUGGUUGAAUCUCUAUACUUGAUCAUGAAGGUCGGACUAUGGUCACACGCAUACGUGCACACCCUAAAUUCUUGUAGCAAUGUAUUAUUUAUGUAUUUAUUUAUUUUGUGGCUAAAUCAAGAAUUGGGAAGGGGGGAAAUGAAUGAAAGACCUUAUUGGUGUGAAUUCUAUGCCCAGUAGAUUUCUGUGGCUGAGUUGAAGAAAUCAUAGAUACUAAAAUUGAUCUUGUGUAAGGGGCGUUGGUAGGCGACCUUAAAGGGCCAGAGGAGUCUCAUGUGCAGUUCAAGUACUCUCUGUUAGGCUAAAAUUCUGGGAGGAUAUAUAUGACUUUCUCUUUUUAACAAUCUUAUGUCCUUUUUUUGAUUAGUAAGUUACACAUGCAAGUAUGAAUCUGGUUACUGUUACCUAUAUUUUACUUAUAUAUAAAAAAGAAGUUACACAUGCAACUGGUGCCUGUUGGGCCUUGAACUUUAUUAUCUUAUGUUAUCAUUUUUGUUAUUUUAGAUGUCAAGUAUUAAGUAAUGAAGAUGAGAAAAUUGAAAAAUAGAACUUAGUUCUUUUACUCCAUUUUCUUCUGGUAUUGAGUUUAUUGGCUUAGUACAAAGCACAUGUGAUUUGGUCAGCAAAAAUGUCCCUUCUAAGUAGGUUCUUUUACAGAAGACCCCCAGAUGGCUUGCUUGAAUUUGUUGACAGAGUAUAUGUUUUUGAUUCGUGUUUUUCCACUGAAGUCUUGCCUGAUGGAAUGUACCAAAUAUACUUGCAUGAAAUCAUAACUGAGUUACACGAGGAAUUCCCA